GCGUCGGUGCUGAAACGGUUAGCAUGUUAGCAUACGCUCCCGGAAAGAGUGAGAUCUGGGUUCGAAUCCCGGCUGACGCA